rnacentral:lncRNA from 1 species
AAAGAAGAGGCACUCGUGCAACUGGAGAUUUUCAAUGUACUAUACGCUACAACUUUAAAUUAAGAGUUUAGCCUCCAUAAAAUAAUGUUAGAGCAUGAUUAUUGCUGCCGGUUUCUUAAAAAAAAAUUGAUGUUUUUUUUAAGUCUGAAAUAAAAUAAAAAAUAAAAAACUAACCAAUCGCAGAUUCUACGUGUUAGUAGAACCCACGAACAGUGCAAUAAACACCCUAAAAUCGUUUCUUAUUUCAUAUAUUUUGUGAUCGAUUCCUAACAUUUU